rnacentral:rRNA from 1 species
AACCUGCCUUGGAGUGGGGAAUAACAGCUGGAAACAGCUGCUAAUACCGCAUAAUAUGUCUGAACCGCAUGGCUCUGGACAUCAAAGAUUUAUCGCUCUGAGAUGGACUCGCGUCUGAUUAGCUAGUUGGUGGGGCAACGGCCCACCAAGGCGACGAUCAGUAGCCGGACUGAGAGGUUGGCCGGCCACAUUGGGACUGAGACACGGCCCAGACUCCUACGGGAGGCAGCAG